CCACAUCAUGUUGAAACAUUGGUUCCCAUAUGAUCACCAAAGUUAAGCAAUGUCGAGACUGGUCAGUACCUAGAUGGGUAGUUUCUUGGGAGUACCAGGUGUUA